AAGCUGUAAGUCAAGGUCUCACCGUCCACCAGAUUGCAUAUUGUGAUACCGUCCGGAUUACCGUUUGCCGUGAAAGUACGAUGACGGCGAUGAUUGUCUGCCAAUGUCGCGUCCGCAAGUACCUGGAUAUAUAUAAUUUUGAAACUCUUUCAACGAAAGCGGCAAUUUAAACUCUCAUGGAUAAAGAAAAACAGAUCGAUACAAUCACUUCUCGAACGAUCGUUCUACAAAUACUCAAUCGCGAAAGGCAUACGGUUCCAUUUCCUGGUUUUAAUAACUACGGAUGGAUCUAGAAAGGACAUGCCUGCGCGACCACAAUGAAUCCUCCAAGAUAUAUUGCAGUUUGUAUCCACAGCAGAGCGCUUUUAUUUUUCAAACUUGACGGCGAGAGCAUAUGUUGUCCCUUUUAUAAAU